rnacentral:rRNA from 1 species
AAGUCGUAACAAGGUUUCCCAUCGCCCAUUGGAUACCAUCUAACGGAAGCCUUGCAAGUAACAGUCCGCCCUCGGGCGGGCGACACCCGCCUGUAGCUGGAAAUUUCCCCAGUUGGGUAAACAAUCAGCUGCUGCGUGCGUGGAGCAUGUAGUUCACAGAUCAAACGCGUGUGGCCACCUGUGUUACGGUUCUCAGUUCGAGGACGCCUCAGGGGUUAAGAUAUGACCGUAGCAGCUCUGCGAAGAGUUUGGUCGACUAGUUCCGUAGGUGAACCUGCGGAAGGAUCAUUACUGAGAGGGGGGCCUCGUGCCCCAGGGGCUCAGCCCCGCACCUUUCCACCCUUUGUGUACGUUCCACUGUUGCUUUGGCGGGCCCCGGGGUACUUCCCGGCGCCGGCUCUGCCUGGAGCUCGCGAGCGCCCGCCAGAGGCCUACAAAAAUCAGUUUUCAUCAAUGUCGUCGGAGUCAUCGCACAAUUUUAUUAAAACUUUCAACAACGGAUCUCUUGGUUCUGGCAUCGAUGAAGAACGCAGCGAAAUGCGAUAAGUAAUGUGAAUUGCAGAAUUCAGUGAAUCAUCGAAUCUUUGAACGCACAUUGCGCCCUUUGGUAUUCCGAAGGGCAUGCCUGUUCGAGCGUCAUUACGCCCCUCAAGCAUUGCUUGGUAUUGGGUGCCUCGCCCCCUGGAAAUCCAGGGGACGCACCCGAAAAUUAGUGGCGGUUCCGGUAGACUUCAAGCGCAGUAAACUUUUGUCCGCUUUUGAAGCCUUCUGCCGGUGACCUCGCCAGCAAAACCCUCUUUGACCCAUAGAAUUGACCUCGGAUCAGGUAGGGAUACCCGCUGAACUUAA